GCCUGAUAUUCAUAUGAUGAAAUCAUAAUCUUUCAGUCAGUUUAAUUGAAGUCUGGAACUGGCAUGUCAGUUAACUGCUAGUAGUCUGUUGUUAUUUAUGUAUUAUUGUCAUUUUGUUUAUUUUCUUUGGUUACAUCUUCUGACAUCAGACUCGGACUUCUCUUGAACUGAAUUUUAAUGUGCGUAUUGUUAUGCGUUUACUUUUCUACAUUGGCUAGAUGUAUAGGGGGAGGGUUGAGAUCUCACAAACAUGUUUAACCCCGCCGCAUUUUUGCGCCUGUCCCAAGUCAGGAGCCUCUGGCCUUUGUUACUCUUGUAUUAUUUUUAUUUUAGUUUCUUGUGUACAAUUUGGAAAUUAGUAUGGCGUUCAUUAUCACUGAACUAGUAUAUAUUUGUUUAGGAGCC
rnacentral:lncRNA from 1 species